rnacentral:rRNA from 1 species
UUAUGAAUAAGGAUCGGCUAACUCCGUGCCAGCAGCCGCGGUAAUACGGAGGAUCCGAGCGUUAUCCGGAUUUAUUGGGUUUAAAGGGAGCGUAGAUGGAUGUUUAAGUCAGUUGUGAAAGUUUGCGGCUCAACCGUAAAAUUGCAGUUGAUACUGGAUAUCUUGAGUGCAGUUGAGGCAGGCGGAAUUCGUGGUGUAGCGGUGAAAUGCUUAGAUAUCACGAAGAACUCCGAUUGCGAAGGCAGCCUGCUAAGCUGCAACUGACAUUGAGGCUCGAAAGUGUGGGUAUCAAACAGGAUUAGAUACCCUGGUAGUCCACACGGUAAACGAUGAAUACUCGCUGUUUGCGAUAUACUGCAAGCGGCCAAGCGAAAGCGUUAAGUAUUCCACCUGGGGAGUACGCCGGCAACGGUGAAACUCAAAGGAAUUGACGGGGGCCCGCACAAGCGGAGGAACAUGUGGUUUAAUUCGAUGAUACGCGAGGAACCUUACCCGGGCUUAAAUUGCAACCGAAUAUGGCGGAAACGCUAUAGCUAGCAAUAGCGGUUGUGAAGGUGCUGCAUGGUUGUCGUCAGCUCGUGCCGUGAGGUGUCGGCUUAAGUGCCAUAACGAGCGCAACCCUUGCCGAUAGUUACUAACAGGUUAUGCUGAGGACUCUGUCGGGACUGCCAUCGUAAGAUGUGAGGAAGGUGGGGAUGACGUCAAAUCAGCACGGCCCUUACGUCCGGGGCUACACACGUGUUACAAUGGGGGGUACAGAAGGCAGCUACACGGCGACGUGAUGCUAAUCCCGAAAGCCUCUCUCAGUUCGGAUUGGAGUCUGCAACCCGACUCCAUGAAGCUGGAUUCGCUAGUAAUCGCGCAUCAGCCACGGCGCGGUGAAUACGUUCCCGGGCCUUGUACACACCGCCCGUCAAGCCAUGGGAGCCGGGGGUACCUGAAGUGCGUAACCGCGAGGAGCGCCCUAGGGUAAAACUGGUGACUGGGGCUAAGUCGUAACAAGGUAGCCGUACCGGAAGGUGCGGCUG